AAAAGACAACGAUCAUGUUGCCUCGCAUAACACUGUUGUGAAGGUGCUGUUGUUGUGGUUCCCAUUCAGGCAAAUACCCUGUUGUAGCCUGUUAUUAAAACAGGAAAGUCACACUGAACACCAGGAUGCAGAGAAAGAGAGUGAUUAGUCCUACUGGAGAAACCUGAAUUUCCUGAGAGCACCCUACAAAGAGGGGAGGACGACAUUUGUAUCUCAGCUCAGCUGUCUCUUUGUCCUGGUCCUCUCAGUCUGCAAGACUGCUUGGUUCAAUGGUGGUAAAGUGACCUCGGAGGGGGGCUCAGAGCUCUUCAGUGACCUGAGAAGGAAUCACAGGAGAGGGAUCAAGUCUCAGCACACUAAAAACACAUUCCACAGGUACAGUAAUUCAGAGUGCCUUGUUUGUCUGAACUCAGAGCAGCAGCGGAGAGAGACCUUGUGAUGAUUACAAACUCAUGUGGACCUGCUCAGGAACAUUCUCUUCAGAGUGCAGGACCCACUGGUUCGACCAUGACGACGCCCAGGGAACAGAAACUGCGAGGUUUAAUGUUCUAGUCUUUUAGGGGUGUGGGUGGCUGAGCAGUGAUAACCCAUCAGAUGAGGACGACCUGGAGUCCAUAGCCCAGCUGCUGCAGAUGUUUCCUGGUCAAGUGUGUAGAAGCCCCAUCAGCAUCGAGGCCCAGACCAACUAUGGGAUAUCUGCACAGCACACUGGAGACACCUUCCUCUCAUGAGCAGUUCCUCUAACCUCAACCCUAACCCUAGCUUCAUGUCCACAUCCUGGUUAAACACGAGCUUCAUGUCCACAUCCUGGUUAAUCCCUAACCCUAGCUUCAUGUCCACAUCCUGGCUCAACCCUAAUCCUAGCUUCCUGUCCACAUCCUGGCUCAAAUUUAAUCCUAGCUUCAUGUCCACAUCCUGGCUCAACCCUAAUCCUAGCUUCAUGUCCACAUUCUGGCUCAACCCUAAUCCUAGCUUCAUGUCCACAUUCUGGCUCAACCCCAAUCCUAGCUUCAUGUCCACAUCCUGGCUCAACCCUAAUUCUAGCUUCAUGUCCACAUCCUGGCUCAACUCUAAUCCUAGCUUCAUGUCCACAUCCUGGCUCAACCCUAACCCUAGCUUCAUGUCCACAUCCUGGCUCAACCCUAACCCUAGCUUCAUGUUCACAUCUUGGUUAAACCCUAGCUUCAUGUCCACAUCCUGGCUCAACCCUAAUCCUAGCUUCAUGUCCACAUCCUGGUUAAACCCUAACUUCAUGUUCACAUCCUGGCUCAACCCUAACCCUAGCUUCAUGUCCACAUCCUGGUUAAACCCUAGCUUCAUGUCCACAUCCUGGUUAAACACUAGCUUCAUGUCCACAUCCUGGUUAAACCCUAGCUUCAUGUCCACAUCCUGGUUAAACCCUAACCCUAGCUUCAUGUCCACAUUCUGGUUAAACUCUAACCCUGACCCUAGCCUCAACCCUAAUCCUAGCUUCAUGUCCACAUCCUGGCUCAACCCUAACCCUAGCUUCAUGUCCACAUCCUGGCUCAACCCUAACCCUAGCUUCCUGUUCACAUUCUGGUUAAACCCUAACCCUAACCCUAGCUUAAUGUCCACAUCCUGGUUAAACCCUAACCCUAGCCUCAACACUAACCCUAGCUUCAUGUCCACAUCCUGGUUAAACCCUAACCCUAGCCUCAACCCUAACCCUAGCUUCAUGUCCACAUCCUGGUUAAACCCUAACCCUAGCCUCAACCCUAACCCUAGCUUCAUGUCCACAUCCUGGUUAAACCCUAACCCUAGCCUCAGCACUAACCCUAGCUUCAUGUCCCCAUCCUGGUUAAACCCUAACCCUCCAAGCUGUUCAUACUAUACCUGCUCACAGAUGACUUAGUGAUUUCUAUGAUGUGUCACUGACAUCCAAUGAUAUCCAAUAACAAACAAUAACAAACUAGGUAUUGACGAUAUUAAAGGGUCAAUAUCCUUCACAAUUCCAACCUACAUUUUACAUAUUAAAUUAGCUUACAUUCACAUUUCCAAAGCUGUUAUGUAUAGAACAUCAGGAGUUAACAAAUGCCCAUAGCUACUAAAUUAUUUGCCUGUGUGUGUUUUCCAAGUAUGAUGCCACUCAUGGAUUUGCCUGUGUGAAUGCAGAGCAAGAUGGUAGACUCUGUCAGGACUACAAAGUCUGUUUCACCUGCCCUCAGGCAUUCUGCUCAGUGGACAACCAAUGAGAACCAAUCCACAUGAAAGCAAAAAGAAUCAGAGUUCUGCGCCGAAUGGGACAAAUUUGCUUUUGGUCUGAGUUACUUUAUAUAUGAAGGAGCUGUAAUUCCUAAUGGCUGCUAUAGAAUAUAACAUGUAAACGCAAUCCUUCAUCUGCCUUACUUCUGACCUGUAAAGUCAAAUGCUUUAGUCUAUGUGGAACAGGGUUGUGGUCAACUCAAUUUCAAUUCCAGGCAAUUUAGAAAGUUAACCAAAUUCCAAUUCCUAUUUCAAAUGUUCCUUAUUGAAAAAACAUUGGAGAGAAUUGGAACUUCAGUGUACUUCCUGAAUUGUAUUGAAUAAAAAUGGAAUUGACCCCAACCCUGAUGUUGAAUUGAUAUCUAAACGUACAUUUCUUCACGUUAACAUUAGAAAAUAUGUAGUAUCAUGUUUCCUUUCAUGUACUAUACAGUGUAGCCUACAGGUGAACUACAAUUACAGUAAGCCAUAGUGUGUAAAAAAAGACUGAUCACAGAUGCACAUAGAUGCACAGACAGUCAUCAAAAAUUCAACGUCUACACACAAUGUAGUCUACAUUUGGAUGGCUAGACUCAUGAGGACUGAAUUCUUUAGAAAUCUCAGAUUUAGUAUGACAAUGCAAUGAGUGUAUGUGUGGAAUGUGUUUAUUUUCUCCUGUGGGGUACUAAAACAAUCACAGAAUGAAGGCAGUGUCACAUACCCUACAACCGUUAGGACUAUGUACUGGUAGUCUCCUGCCACUGUAAGUCAUGGUUUGAAAACGUGACCCUUCAAUCAUUAGAGUAAACUUUUUUUGCAUUACGUUAAUGUUGGUCAUUUCAUGUUUAUCUUUCCAAGUUCAGAAAAUGUUAAUGAACUAAUUUGAGGAAUGACUUGAGCCCCAAGUCAGAAAACAUACUACUGUAUCCUAAUAACCUGAAUGAAAACGUGAACAGCAAGCUAAAUAAAAAUACAUUUGACGGUGGAUUGUCAAGAUAUUCUCUUUGCAACUGUGCAUCAAAAAUACUGUGAGUGAUUUAUUGAUUAAUAGAGUGGCAAAUCAUUGGGUAUUGAUUGACUUUUCUGCUAAUAAAUUAUUUUGU